AUUAAUAUUUAUUUUUAUUGUUUUUUUUUCUUUUUAGUAGAAAAAUAUUAUUUUUUAUUAAUUUUGUUUGAAAAAAUUUUUUUAAUUAUAGUUUAUUGUACUGUGAGGGGUUGUUUUAAUGUUUUUUAAAGAAGAUUUGGUUUAUCGUACCUUGUGUAUCAGGGUUUAUUAAUUAUAAGUAUUUAUUUAUUAUUCCCGAAAUUUAAAGAUCUAUGAGAAUGUUUUUUUUACUGUAGAAUAAGUAUUGAUAAUUUUUUCAUUGAAAUGAAACGUUAUUCGUUUUUGAUUAUAUCUGGUUUUUCAAGAAAAUGAUUUAAUUAGCUGGAAUUAUAGUAAUAGUUUUUUUUAUAAAAAUUUAUUGCUUUUUUCUUGUAAUUUUUAUUGGGAUAAGCUUAUAUUAAAAUUUUUAAAAGUUAUUUAUUUUAUAUUUUUUGUAGGAUUAGAAUUUUCCAUUGUUUGAAGGAUGUUAUUAUUAGUUGUUUUUUGAUUUGAUUUUAAUUAACUUUAAGUUUUUAUUGAAAUUUAAAUAAUAACUUUUGUUAUUUAGUUAUAAUGAUAGAAUUAGUAUAUUUAUUGUUGUUUAAAUUAAACUGUUAGUUUAUUUAAAGGAACUCGGCAAUUUAAGUUUCCACCUGUUUAUUAAAAACAUGUCCUUUUGAGUAUAAUUUAAGGUCUGACCUGCCCAAUGAUUAAUUUUAAUGGCCGCAGUAUCUUGACUGUGCAAAGGUAGCAUAAUCAUUAGUUUUUUUAUUGAAAGCUGGAAUGAAUGGUUUGAUGAGAAACUUACUGUCUCUAAAUUAUUUUUAGAAUUUUAUUUUUGAGUUAAAAAGCUUAAAUGUUAUAGAAAGACGAGAAGACCCUAUAGAGUUUUAUUUUUUACUAAAUUUUAUUUUAAUGAUUUUUUUUAAAUUUAUAAAAAAUUUUGUUGGGGUGACAAAUAAAUAUAAGUAACUUUAUUUUAUUUAAACAAAUAUAUUUGGAUAUUUGAUCCUUUAAUUAUGGAUUUAAAGAUUAAAUUACCUUAGGGAUAACAGCGUAAUUUUUUCUGAAAGCUCUUAUUGAAGAAAAAGUUUGCGACCUCGAUGUUGGAUUAAAAUUUAUUAUUGGUGUAGCAGUUGAUAAAUUGAGUCUGUUCGACUUUUAAAAUUUUACAUGAUCUGAGUUUAAACCGGUGUGAGCCAGGUUGGUUUCUAUCUUUUAUUUUUUUUGUUGUUUUAGUACGAAAGGACCAUACAUUAAAAUUAUAUUUUUUAUUUGAAUUUUAU
rnacentral:rRNA from 1 species